GAUGAACGCUGGCGGCGUGCCUAAUACAUGCAAGUCGAGCGAACAGACGAGGAGCUUGCUCCUCUGACGUUAGCGGCGGACGGGUGAGUAACACGUGAUAACCUACCUAUAAGACUGGGAUAACUUCGGGAAACCGGAGCUAAUACCGGAUAAUAUAUUGAACCGCAUUGUUCAAUAGUGAAAGACGGUUUUGCUGUCACUUAUAGAUGGAUCCGCGCCGCAUUAGCUAGUUGGUAAGGUAACGGCUUACCAAGGCAACGAUGCGUAGCCGACCUGAGAGGGUGAUCGGCCACACUGGAACUGAGACACGGUCCAGACUCCUACGGGAGGCAGCAGUAGGGAAUCUUCCGCAAUGGGCGAAAGCCUGACGGAGCAACGCCGCGUGAGUGAUGAAGGUCUUCGGAUCGUAAAACUCUGUUAUUAGGGAAGAACAAAUGUGUAAGUAACUAUGCACGUCUUGACGGUACCUAAUCAGAAAGCCACGGCUAACUACGUG
rnacentral:rRNA from 1 species